rnacentral:rRNA from 1 species
GCGGCUGUAGCGCGGUGGUCCCACCUGACCCCAUGCCGAACUCAGAAGUGAAACGCCGUAGCGCCGAUGGUAGUGUGGGGCCUCCCCAUGCGAGAGUAGGGAACUGCCAGAC